rnacentral:rRNA from 1 species
UACGUAGGGCGCAAGCGUUGUCCGGAAUUAUUGGGCGUAAAGAGCUCGUAGGCGGCCUGUUGCGUCCGCUGUGAAAACCCGGGGCUUAACCCCCGGGCUUGCAGUGGAUACGGGCAGGCUGGAGGCAGGCAGGGGAGAACGGAAUUCCCGGUGUAGCGGUGAAAUGCGCAGAUAUCGGGAGGAACACCGGUGGCGAAGGCGGUUCUCUGGGCCUGUACUGACGCUGAGGAGCGAAAGCGUGGGGAGCGAACAGG